rnacentral:rRNA from 1 species
UAAGAAUAUUCCGCAAUGGACGAAAGUCUGACGGAGCGACGCCGCGUGGAUGAAGAAGGCCGAAAGGUUGUAAAAUCCUUUUGUCGGGGAAGGAUAAGCGUGGGAGGGAAUGCCCGCGUGAUGACAUGAACCGGCGAAUAAGCCCCGGCUAACUACGCGCCAGCAGCCGCGGUAACACGUAGGGGGCAAGCGUUGUUCGGAAUUACUGGGCGUAAAGGGCAUGUAGGCGGUUUUGUAAGCCUGGCGUGAAAUUCUGCAGCGUAACUGUAGGACUGCGCUGGGAACUGCGAGACUGGAGUCACGGAGAGGGAGCCAGAAUUCCAGGUGUAGGGGUGAAAUCUGUAGAUAUCUGGAAGAAUACCAAUGGCGAAGGCAGGCUUCUGGCCGAUGACUGACGCUGAGGUGCGAAAGCGUGGGUAGCAAAC